AUCUCACUGGAGAUUCCUGAGUGCCUGAGGCCUUCCAAGGGGAAGGAGGUGGAAGUGCUCCUGGCUGCAGAGAAGCAUGCUGAAGUUGGUGGUGUGGUCAGGUGCAGCAGUGGCAGAGCUUAGCAGACAUGUUCACCACAGCUGGAAGCACUGCAGUGAGUACCAAAGGAAUUAUGCCCUAAGUGGAGUCUGAGGCAGAAAUGCCACAGUGCUCUUCUCCAAAGGUUGUGUAUCCCUGUGCUGGGAUGGAUCCCUGUGCCUGCUGACCUCCUCUGCCUUACAGCUAGGCAUGGUGGGAGGCAAAUGGAAAAACCUCACAAACUUCUUGAAUUGUGAAGUCAGAACAGAGGCCGUAUUUGUUAAAAUGAUUGUCAUGUCUUCAUUUUCCUUAUGUUCCUGGCACGUGAAUACAGGGUUUGGAACUGCCUGCCCUCCACUUGUCUUCAACAUGGAAGAACAUUCUAGCUCUGGUGGUGCUUUGUUCCACGUACAUCCCUUUGCCCAUAGAAGCACAGUGUCUGCUGAGCAGCUGCUUUGUGUGGGAAACUGAUCUCUAAGGCAGGACAGUUGUGCAUCUUAUCUUACCUUCCUAGCACUGGUGUGCAUGAAAUAAGUCUGAAGUCAUUUAACAAUCAUAGUGACUGACUCAAUUUUACAUGUUUUCCUAUUGUUUAAAAAGACUUCUCUGCUAAUUUUGGUUUUUACUGAAGGAACACUUUUAAGUAGUCUUUAUCACAGAUAUACACCUAAGCCUGCCCCAUGCAGGUCUUUCAGAAUGCAGUCUUUUCACUUAUUUCUCCAAAGAAAGCAAGGCAGGACAAAACGUGAAGCAUGUGUAAGUGAAUUGAUGGUGUACAGCCCGGUGGAAAAGGGACAUCCUUUAAGAUAAGGAAAAAACCUCUUGAACAAAUCUAUGUCUUGAUGGAUUCAGAAGUUGCCUGCUUGCUUGCUUGUUAAUGUGGGUCUAUUGUAACUGCUAGCUCAGCUGCCUGUUUGGCUUUGUGAAGAGCCUUCCAUACUGUAGUUUUCAAAUACAGAAC
ensembl:lncRNA